rnacentral:rRNA from 1 species
GAUGAACGCUGGCGGCGUGCCUAAUACAUGCAAGUCGAGCGAACGGACGAGAAGCUUGCUUCUCUGAUGUUAGCGGCGGACGGGUGAGUAACACGUGGAUAACCUACCUAUAAGACUGGGAGAACUUCGGGAAACCGGAGCUAAUACCGGAUAAUAGUUUGAACCGCAUGGUUCAAAAGUGAAAGACGGUCUUGCUGUCACUUAUAGAUGGAUCCGCGCUGCAUUAGCUAGUGGGUAAGGUAACGGCUUACCAAGGCAACGAUGCAUAGCCGACCUGAGAGGGUGAUCGGCCACACUGGACCUGAGACGCGGUCCAGACUCCUCCGGGAGGCAGCAGUAGGGAAUCUUCCGCAGUGGGCGAAAGCCUGACGGAGCAACGCCGCGUGAGUGAUGAAGGUCUUCGGAUCGUAAAACUCUGUUAUUAGGGAAGAACAUAUGUGUAAGUAACUGUGAACCUCUUGACGGUACCUAAUCAGAAAGCCCCGGCUAACUACGUG